rnacentral:rRNA from 1 species
GCAGUCGAGGGGUAUUGGUUUUCGGACCAAGAGACCGGCGCACGGGUGCGUAACGCGUAUGCAAUCUACCUUUCACAGAGGGAUAGCCCAGAGAAAUUUGGAUUAAUACCUCAUAGUAUGCAGAGUUGGCAUCAACCCUGCAUUAAAGUCACAACGGUGAAAGAUGAGCAUGCGUCCCAUUAGCUAGUUGGUAAGGUAACGGCUUACCAAGGCAACGAUGGGUAGGGGUCCUGAGAGGGAGAUCCCCCACACUGGUACUGAGACACGGACCAGACUCCUACGGGAGGCAGCAGUGAGGAAUAUUGGACAAUGGGCGCAAGCCUGAUCCAGCCAUGCCGCGUGCAGGGUGACGGUCCUAUGGAUUGUAAACUGCUUUUGUACGAGAAGAAACACUCCUUCGUGAAGGAGCUUGACGGUAUCGUAAGAAUAAGGAUCGGCUAACUCCGUGCCAGCAGCCGCGGUAAUACGGAGGAUCCAAGCGUUAUCCGGAAUCAUUGGGUUUAAAGGGUCCGUAGGCGGUUUAGUAAGUCAGUGGUGAAAGCCCAUCGCUCAACGGUGGAACGGCCAUUGAUACUGCUAGACUUGAAUUAUUAGGAAGUAACUAGAAUAUGUAGUGUAGCGGUGAAAUGCUUAGAGAUUACAUGGAAUACCAAUUGCGAAGGCAGGUUACUACUAAUGGAUUGACGCUGAUGGACGAAAGCGUGGGUAGCGAACAGGAUUAAAUACCCUGGUAGUCCACGCCGUAAACGAUGGAUACUAGCUGUUGGGAGCGAUCUCAGUGGCUAAGCGAAAGUGAUAAGUAUCCCACCUGGGGAGUACUUUCGCAAGAAU